AGUGAGAUAGCUGGGUCAAAUGGUGGUUCCAUUCCAAGUUUUCUAAGGAAUCUCCAUACUGCUUUCCAGAGUGGUUGCACCAAUUUGAAGUCCCUCCAGCAAU
rnacentral:pre_miRNA from 1 species